GGCCUCUUAGUUCAAUGGAUAGAAUAGGAGUUUCCUAAACUCUAGAUCUAGGUUCGAUUCCUAGAGAGGCCA
rnacentral:tRNA from 1 species